AGCACAAGACAUCCUGACCUUCAAGGGAGGGAGGAACACCUUGAGAGGAGUUGAGAUCCUGCUUUCUCUUCAGAAUGCCAUCUCUAGGAUGCCAAUGGGCUGUGUCUACAGUACUAUGUAGGAAAGUGCUGCAAGAGAAAUCAUAAACACCUCUAAAACACAUGUAUACUGGUGGUGUUAGUCAACUUAUAUCACUGUCUGUGAAGACGAUGCAGCAAAUUCAAUGAAAGUUGUAUACAUCAUGGAAAAGUUUGAAUUGCAUGAAGAAAAGAAGCUGACGGAAGUUCUUUCUGUCACCUCUCUGAAGACCUGGUUCAUAUCUGCAGCUGCAACUCUAUCCCUGAACUCAUCUUUGAAACUACCCAGAGAUAGACUGUCAAGAGCUUCAGAGCUUUACAACAGGAUCUUCCAAGUGCCCUGAGAGGUCAUGAUGGAGCCAAUAGAAAUAAAUCAUACAAAACAAAGCCAGAACCUGGUGGGAGGGAUGCUUACAAAACAACAUAAACGAGAAGUUGUCUGAAAAAAAAUUGUAUGGAAGGAAGAAGAGAUGAGAUAAGGGAAAUGAACUCAUAAUAGCCCCAGUUAAAAUACUUACAGUAAAAUAUCAUUAGUACUACUUGAUGUUGGUGAAAGGCUCUAGACUCAAGUCAGAAGGCCCAAUUUGUUGCUGUGAUUUCUUGAACAAAUUAUGUAAUUGUGUUGAGAUUCAGUUUUCUUUUCUAUCAUUGGGUAUUAAUAACUUCUAUGUGAUGUCAGAGUUAUGAUGUGAAGUUAAAAUAACUAAUAAAUGGGUAAACCCUGAAAAUUUGAUAGAAUUUUGUGAAUGAGAGAAUCUUACAAAUACAGUACCUGAAACCAAAAGAAUUAAGUCUCAGCUUGAGGAAUAUCAGAUACUAGGGCAGGCUAAUGGGAUAAAGGUCUCAUUGAUCUGCCACCUUCAGUCACACUGAAAUGGGGCUAUAUUUUUUUUAUUUACUUACCUACCAGUACUGCCAAUAGUCAAAAUAGUACUACUUUCCAAGUUAUUUAACUUUUUUAGUAUAACAGAAAAAAAAAUCAUUUCUAGUUUUCAAGGCAUGGAUUCAAUGAGUAAUAUAGAUUUAUAUCACUUGGUGAAGACAUGGCAAUUUCCCUGAUACCACUGAAAAAUAAAUUUAAAAAUGCUAUUUG
rnacentral:lncRNA from 1 species